rnacentral:rRNA from 1 species
CUAACGCAGGGAACUGAAACAUCUUAGUACCUGCAGGAAAAGAAAAUAAAUAAUGAUUCCCCUAGUAGUGGCGAGCGAACGGGGAUUAGCCCAAACCACCCAUGUUACGGCAUGUGUGGGGUUGUAGGACCACGCUCUCGCAAGACAGUUAUUGAGAAGAAACGACUGGAAAGUCGUGCCAUAGACGGUGAUAGCCCGGUAUUCUAAGGUAACCGAAGCGUAGUGGUAUCCUGAGUAGCGCGGAGCACGAGGAAUUCUGCGUGAAUCAGCCGGGACCAUCCGGUAAGGCUAAAUACUCCCGAGAGACCGAUAGCGAACCAGUACUGUGAAGGAAAGGUGAAAAGCACUUCGAAUAGAAGAGUGAAAUAGUCCCUGAAACCAUGCGCCUACAAGCGGUCGGAGCAGCGUAAGUUGUGACGGCGUGCCUUUUGCAUAAUGAACCUACGAGUUACUUUUUCCGGCAAGGUUAAGCAUCUUGAGAUGUGGAUCCGAAGCGAAAGCGAGUCUGAACAGGGCGGAUAGUCGGAAGGAGUAGACGCGAAACCAAGUGAUCUACCCUUGGGCAGGUUGAAGGUUAGGUAACACUAACUGGAGGACCGAACCGAUAAGCGUUGAAAAGCUUCCGGAUGACCUGAGGGUGGGGGUGAAAGGCUAAUCAAACUUGGAGAUAGCUCGUACUCCCCGAAAUGCAUUUAGGUGCAGCCUUGAGAGUUACUAAUGUGAGGUAGAGCGACUGAUAAGAUGCGAGGGCUUCACCGCCUAUCAAGUCUUGAUAAACUCCGAAUGCGCAUUAGUUCUAUCUCAGGAGUGAGGGCAUGGGUGCUAAGGUCCAUGUCCUAAAGGAGAAGAAUCCAGACCAUCAGCUAAGGUCCCCAAAUAAACACUAAGUUGAACUAACGAAGUCAGAUUGCUAAGACAGCUAGGAUGUUGGCUUGGAAGCAGCCAUUCAUUUAAAGAGUGCGUAACAGCUCACUAGUCGAGGAGUUUGGCGUGGAUAAUAAUCGGGCAUUAAGUGUUUUACCGAAGCUAUGGGAUACGUAAGUAUCGGUAGGGGAG